rnacentral:rRNA from 1 species
AUUGAACGCUGGCGGCAGGCCUAACACAUGCAAGUCGAACGAGUGGCGGACGGGUGAGUAAUGUCUGGGAAACUGCCCGAUGGAGGGGGAUAACUACUGGAAACGGUAGCUAAUACCGCAUACCAUCGGAUGUGCCCAGAUGGGAUUAGCUUGUAGGUGAGGUAACGGCUCACCUAGGCGACGAUCCCUAGCUGGUCUGCGAGGAUGACCAGCCACACGGAAACUGAGACACGGUCCGGACUCCUACGGGAGGCAGCAGUGGGGUAUAUGGCACAGUGGGGGCAAGCAUGAUGCAGCCAUGCAGCGUGUAUGAAGAAGGCCUUCGGGUUGUAAAGUACUUUCAGCGGGGAGGCGUUACCCGCAGAAGAAGCACCGGCUAACUCCGGGCCAGCCGCCGCGGUAAUUC